rnacentral:rRNA from 1 species
ACCCGCUGAACUUAAGCAUAUCAAUAAGCGGAGGAAAAGAAACUAACAAGGAUUCCCCUAGUAACUGCGAGUGAAGCGGGAAAAGCUCAAAUUUGAAAUCUGGCGGCUCCGUCGCCCGAGUUGUAUUCUGGAGAAGCGUCUUCCGCGUCGGACCGUGUACAAGUGCCUUGGAACAGGACGUCAUAGAGGGUGAGAAUCCCGUCUUUGACACGGACGCCCGAUGCUCUGUGAUGCGCUCUCGAAGAGUCGAGUUGUUUGGGAAUGCAGCUCAAAACGGGUGGUAAAUUCCAUCUAAAGCUAAAUAUUGGCGAGAGACCGAUAGCGAACAAGUACCGUGAGGGAAAGAUGAAAAGCACUUUGGAAAGAGAGUAAAACAGUACGUGAAAUUGUUGAAAGGGAAACGCUUGAAGUCAGUCGCGUCUGCCGGAACUCAGCCUUGCUUCUGCUUGGUGCACUUUCCGGCCUGACGGGCCAGCAUCGGUUUCGAGCGGCGGACAAUGGCGAGGGGAAGGUGGCAGCUCCGGCUGUGUUAUAGCCCCUCGUCGCAAACGCCGCACGGGACCGAGGAAUCCGGCGCAAGCCUGGGAUGCUGGCGUAAUGGCUUUAAACGACCCGUCUUGAAACACGG